ACACUGUCAACUCUUAGGAGAUCCAAGAGCAGCACUUGGCUUCCAGUCCAUGGAGAACCUAGGCGACAUGUUGAGAUGCCUACAGAUGUCCCUUUCCAUCUUCACCACCACAAGUCACCUGGGCCAGAGCACCUGGACCCAUCCAUUUUGGUGUUUGGAAGCAUGAAGGCAAACACAAGCUCAGGAUUGCAGCUCCUCCUGUUAGUGGGUGCCACAGGGCUCCUUCCUCCCAGGCUCUGGGAUCACAUCUUCUCUCCAAGGAGAGCAAUGCAAAACAUCAACAUAUGAAACCUUCCAAGUGAGGAAACUCCAGACAGCACAGAAACUCCAUGAACGCAGACAGCCCCAGCUCAUCACACCUGCCAUUUUCUCCCGUCCCUGGAAUAUGGGACCCAACGGCUUGGCUCAAGUUUCAUCUUACAUAACUGCCACUCACAGGGUCCUUCUGAGAUUUUCCUGUGGGCUGUUUAGAGACUUGCAAAGAUGCUCCGUGGCCCAGCAUAUCUUAGCUGUUAUAGACUUAAUUCCAGAGCUUUGUUCCUCAGGCACAACGCAACCUUUUUCUUUGUACAGCAGAGGUCAUGUAUGCUGAGACAGAGCUUCCCUAGAUUCUGUUGCAAGAAUAAUGAGUGUUUCUCUGCAAAACCUGGGAAAAAAAAAAAAAAAAAAAAAAGAAGAAGAAGAAAAAAAAAAGAAGGAUUUCCAUGAUCCCCAUCAUCAUCUCAGUGCAAAAGGCCAACGCUCUCCGGUACAAACAAAAACAAUAAUAAUAGCAAACAAACCACUCUAUCAAACCACAGUACUCCUCUCCACUCUUAAUUCUUCCUUGGGAAAAGAUGGAGAGAAAACAAAUUAGCUUCCUGAGGGUUACCACUGCUUAAAAGGAUCUGUUGAUGAAAUCAGUAAAAGAACAUACUGAGCUUGCUCUGAAUAGGCAAGGGCUGUAGAAGAGCCUCAAGGAAAAUUCGGGCGCAGUCCGACAUUGAAGAAGUUGGGUCUAUUUCUAGUUAUCUCAGUAUUGACGUAGCUCAACCAUUGUGAGGAACAGGAAAUUCAUAAAGACUGGGUUAGUCUUUUUGGCAAGAGGCUGGCAUCUGCCAUGGGACAUUAAUCCAUUCUAAGCUGCAGUAAGCUGAGCUGCUGGGUUUGUAUUCGUGUCACUGAGACUGCUUACACUCACUGCUGGUCUAUAAACUCCUAUUAGUCUGGCUUGGCAGUGGCUUACAUCUUGAUGGAAAGAAUAGCCUAUGGAUCACGAUCAUUAAGUAAUAAUUUAUACAAAUUCUGCUAAGCGAGUCAUUUUUCCUGAGUCCGCCUUCUAAAAUAUUUUGGGGAGAGAUGAAUAAAGCAAAAGUGGGAUUUUUUUAGAGAAAGGGGACUAGAAGGUCCCAGGGCAUUUGUCAUUGUAAUAAACACAUCUGCCAGCUGAAUUGGCAGAGCUGUUAAAUUCAGUUUCUAUGAAGAGUUCCUCCAAUGCUGAGAUCUUGGAUGCCUCGCAAAAACUUUGCUCUCUGGUCAGCUGAUGCAAAAUAAAAUUAAGGAAGAAAAGUAACUGACAGCCACAGUUAGCAUCUUUGUUUUUCUGAAUAUCAGACUGUCCAAAACGUUAAUGAGAAGAGGAGGACUCAUAAGGGGUGACUUGACAGGAAUCACAUUUUAAUUUCCUUUGUGAAAUAUUGCAGGCUUCUCUCUCUCUCCAGGGAGCACCUUGCUGUUCUUGCCUGUGGGGACCACGUAUCCUCCCCGCAAAGAAAACAUAUCCCACGGUAUUUCCUUCUUUGUUCUCCCAGAUGAAACUUCCCAGACGAGCUUAAUGGGAAUCCCAUUAAAUUUUUUAAUUCGUUAAACUGGUUUUUAACUUUUCAGGCUCCUGUCGUGCCAUAACACUGACUGACAAAUGACAGGGCCCUGCUAGGUUUGUCCAGUGUGUAACGUGAGCUCCCAGGGCUGGAAGCAAUAAAACAGUUUUUUGAGAAUUGGGGUUUUGUAAGAGACACACUAGCCCUGACUUCACCACGCCCUUUGAUUUUGUUAGCUGCAGUUUGGCAAGCUAUGGUUGGGUUUCAUUAGAGUUGCUAUCAUUAGAGGCUCUCCCUUCUCAAAGGUAGGGAGGAUUUUCUGGGUGCAUCAAGGUCAUUUAAGAGCAUAUAAGCAGGAAGGGGAAUGGCUGUUUAUGAGGGUGGAUAGUGAUAGGAUAAGGGGGAAUGGUUUUAAACUGAGGCAGUGGAGGUUUAGGUUGGAUACUGGGAGGAAGUUUUUCCCCCAGAG